UGGGUGUGCGCUGAAAGUGGAAAGACACACAAGUGAGGAAUUCUGGAGCCUUAGAGAGACUCAGCCUGGGAGUACCUCUUGCCUUGUUCACACCUGCCCUGGUUUCACCUUGCCCUGGUGGCUUCACGGAUUGAAGAGAUUCCAGGUCAAAGAGAGAUGACGCAAUGAUCGGACUUGGGUGUAAUGCAUGAAACAGCAUCUGACAAAGGAUGAAACAUAUCUUUAAAAAAAAACCCAGUGGUGUUCAGACUGGGGCUCUGAGCUUUACCAGUUGGUGACUUUGGGCACUUAACAUCUUUGAACCUCAGCUUCCUCAUGGGCAGGACAGGAUAACACAAUUUGCAUGUCAGCUGUACGCGUUACAAUGGACAGCAUAUGUAAAGCAUGUGCACAGUGUUUGGCACAGAAUAAAUGCUCAGUGAUGGUCAGGUGCUCUGUGGACUAGGGCUCUGAAGGGCAAACACACUCUCAGGAGAAUGGAGUGGUUCGUUGCCAUGUUUGAAGGCAAGUAGAGGCACUUGCUCCCAGUGUCCUAAGACCUUGACCGAGAGAAAUGGAAACAGGCAAGCUAGUCCUGAGGAAGGCACGUUUCACAUCUCACGUCUGGCAUUUAGCCACAGCUCUGCUCAAAGCCUGACAACAUCCCUAGGUCUUGGGAAUUCAACAGCUACGCUAGACGACAAGCUUAGAAAGCAGUGGUCUCUGUCCCGGGACUCGCCGGGAGGGCCGGCUGUGCAUGGGCAAGGCGCUGAGGGAGGCCAGAGGAGCCCAGGCCUUCCUGGGACAAGGAACCCUUCCACCUGGUGUCACUGUGACAGUAGCAACCCCGAGAGCCUUGCAGAGGGAUGUCAGCUCAUGUCCCCAGUAGCAGAGAAGAAAGACAAUGUGGGGCAGUUAUCCUGGGACAACCACUGAUUCAUCAAGAAGAAGUGCCCUCACGCCACGCGCUGCGCCCUGGGGACGGCAGUGAGCAAGGAGGGCCAGACUCUCGCUGUUCCCUCAGUUAAUUCACAGCCCCUUUUGCACCUUCUCCUCCAACUGCUUGGAUAUGUUUUGGUUGUUUGAUGUGGAUGAGCUGAAGCCUCAAAGUUGAAUAUUGCAGUAGCUGUGCCUGGGCAAAUAGAGACAAUGUGAACAUCAGCUUCUGCAUGAGUUUUGGGUGUUACAACCUGUUGAUCUUUUGUGGCCUAAUCCCCCACUGCCCAGAAGAGCUGCUUUGUGGCGCAGUCCGCUCUCUCAAGCAUGCAUUACGCAGUAUUGCGCUACCACUGGAGGACAGAAGGAAUGGGUCAUCUAGAGCCACCGAGAAACCUAAAGGCCUUUCGUGGGACUUUGGAAUGGUGCUGUUCACUGACUUUCACUAGCAUCACUCUUUCUCUUUCUUCAAGGCUCUGUUUGUCAUGUACACACACACACACACACACAUACACACUCAGAUGGAAGAUACCACCGUGACUUAGGAGGUUUCAGCAGACCUGAGCACAGGCCAAGCCCACUGUGUCUUCUGUGCCAAGCGUCUGUGACAGAACACCAGGCUGCGGCCCAUGCCCUGACAUGCAGGGGAAGCCAGAGCCAACCAAAUGGGGGCCCACCCACAGGCAGGGCUCCCGACAAAGGAUUCCUGGUGGCUGGAGCUGCAGCCUCCCUCUUGAAAUCCAUCACCAGUAGGGAUUCUCCUGGGUCUCAGCUGGGUGGGUGCCCAGCAGCGGCGGGGCUGAGAGAUGACUUCACUUUCCCAGGGGGCUUUUGGAAAAGGUACACAGGAGGGCCAGGGCUCCACUGCCUGUUAGAAUCUCUGCUUGAGUUGCUAAUUCAGUCCUUUGCAUUUGAGUUAUUCUCCUAUUACAGCUUCGAAAGAUUUAAUUGUCUAAGGUUACUGAACAGGAUGUAAGAAGGGAGGAUGUGAACCUGCUUUGCCAGACUUCAGGAUGGGUGUGUCUUCUUUUUCAUGCAUCACACCACCUUCUAGGGAAUUCUUUUAUUUGGAAGAUGUGACUGUAUUCUUCCCUGAGGAAGGCACACUUCUUUGCAAGCCCUCAGCAUCAUCCCCUGCAUCCUGGGAUCUCUGUGCUUGGAAAGUCACUCAGGGUCCAUGGACAGACAACCUGCUGGAAUGCUGCAGCAGCCUGGGGAAAGGUCUGGACUCUAUGCUCUGGGGCCGUGCACAUGAGCAGGAAUGCGAAUGUGCACGUGUGUGCUGGUGCAUCCAGGGGUCUGUGAGUGCAUGUUGGUGUGCGAAUAAGUAUUUCCAGGUGAUGGACAGCGAUGGAUUGCGUGUCAGCCUGUGGUGUGCCGUGGCCUCACGUGAGGCCUCAAGAAUGAAUACAUGCGGGUGUAUGAAAUUGAGUGUGCAAGAGUGAGUGUGCCCAGGGCCCAUAAUCAACAGGUAUGAACAGAUGUCGCUGAAUCCAUAGUUAAAAUAUUUAAACACCUUCUGCAACAGGGGACAAAUAGAGUCUGCACCAACUGCCCUGCCUGCCAGCACGUGCCCCCAGCCUGGCCUGUGUCCAGCUCAGUCCUACAGCUUCGAGAAUCUAGGAGGCCGAUGCCUGUGACAGCUGGGACCUCUGCGACGCUGCCCCAGCUUCUGUCCUCAAUGCUCAGUGUCAGUCUCCAAACCUGCAGAAUUUAAUUUGAAUAAAAACCAAAUGUGUGUCACUUCUAUGAGUGUGUAAACACUUCUUAGUGUGUGACUCUGGGAACCUUCUACCUUUGUCUUCCCAAGGGAUCGGUGUGUUGUAAAUUCUGGAAAGAUGCGAUGCAAGCUUUAUGCUCCUUCCAGUCACAAACACAUUCAGAGCACUUGCCGUGUUCCAAAGAGUCUGGAGCAGCUUUUGAAUCUCAGAUCCACCACCACCAAGCUGUGGUUCCUGUGAGCAAGUAAGGAGCUUAUCUGCACCUCACCCCUCCCUCUAAUGGGAAGAGCAGGACCCACUUCCAUAGGGUGGAAUAAGUGUGUGUAAGUGCUUGACAUAUGCUGUGCCCUGUAUCUGUUUUCUCAGCUUCUCAGCCUCCUCCAGGGUUGAAGGCCUGUCUACAAAAGUCAUGUCUGGCUGUGUACAAUGAAGGGAAAGAUCUCUGUGCACCACAGAAGCCAAGGACUGCCUCAAGAGCAGGAUCUAGCGUGGGCAGGUGUUUAAAAAGAGAAGAUUCUGCAAGAAAAGGGAAACCACCAUACAGGGUGAUGCCGGCUUAGACUAAAUCUCGCUUCUGCCUGUGAACACCCCUCAGACCCUUUGCCCUGCACAAUUGGUCCUUGUCCUUUCCAUCAGGAUGUGUCCUGCCCCUCACACCUUUGUCCGCUAAAGGUGUGGAGCCUGUGUCCUCAAGUUGGUGGCAAUCAGGGGAGGGUCUUGCUGUUCUGUCAGAAAGUGGUGAAUAAUAAUAAAAGCAACAGUGGACAUUCAUCCAACACUUGCUAUGGAUUACGUGCUAUUUACAAUUUGUUUAUUUUGCUUCAUUGAACACCCCUCUGCCUCACCCCUCAGGAGUCAGGUAUUAUUCCUUCCACUAUACAGAUGAGAAAAGUGAGACCUAAUUAGUUUAUGUGAUUUACUCUUCUAUAGGGAUGGAUCUGGGAUCCAAACCCAGUAUGAUGAGAUAAAAGAAAAAUAAAAUUAAGUGCAGCUCGGAGAGGUGACAUUAAACCUUCUCUUAAGUUUUUGGGUGAGGGUGGGUGAGGAAAGAGAGAGUAAGGAUCCAAAAGAGAAUUUGGGGGGAGGUCACGUAUAGGAGUUAAGAGAGGAGAUAUUUGGAAAUGGUGCCGAGUGAUGUGUCUGAGUGUGGGGCAAUGCUUAACUGUGCUCCUCAUUUUUAGGGAGCUCAGUUAAUGUGUAUACAGUUUUUCAAUAUUUCUUUUGUGUCAUACUUGAGCUCAGUUGAAUGAAACACUCUGGGGAAAAUGUAUGCGUGACAUAGGUCAGGAGACUGGAGCCAGCCUGCAGCUUUCUCUGCCUUUCGGCGGGUGUGGAGGGCUCCAGCGGCCACCUGCUCUCAGCACCAUGGACCUGGGCUGAGACGCGGGAGGGCUGGCCUCCUGGGCACACCUGGCACUCGCAGCCUUGGCUCCUGCUCUGCAUAGUCCUGGCUUGCGCUCUGCCUGUCACCCAAAUCCCACUGCCCUUCCAUUCUGAACCCCCUUUUUAAUGUGUCCCUUGUGGAUAGAUGUAUUGUGGGAGCCCUGUGUUGGAUGCCAUGAUGACAAAGACAGCCAGGUUCUCCUUCCUCCCCUCAGCAGCCUCCAGUCUUCUCUCUCUGUCUCCUCUGAAUUCCAAGGGCAUGAUUGAGGUGUCUGUAGCUUCCAGUUAUCCAUUAAUUAGAUGCCGUCUUGUCUAACUGUGCUUUGUUAUCGUGGAGGCCUCCGCUUGCUCUUCUUAUGGAGAUCAUGAAACCAAGAGACCCAGAGCCCCGUGUGUGCGUCUGUGUGUUCACAACAUCCAUCACAUUUAAGCAAACGUGAGAGGGAGGUGCUUACCAAAGAUGCACCGCUGGGUUGCUGGAUCUCAUUGAUGGAUUGGAAUGGAUAAAUAGAUGGAUGGAUGGAGCAUAGCUGAAAGGUAUGAAAAGAGAUGAUGGAGGAAGAAGAGACCAUCCGACCAGGGAAGCAAUGCUAAAACUUCAGUCUUCAGCUAAUUCUGAAUUCUACAGGGACUGCAACAUAUGUUGGGGGAAAUCCAGAUUUUUAGAUUAGGUUAUGAUCCUUUCUGGCUCCUUUUGGGGACUUCUGCUGGUUUCCAGUGACUUUCCCCUGUAGCCAGAGGCCAGAAAAGGGAGGCCAGUGUCGGAAAAAAGAUUCAAAUUCCUCAUUUUGUGGACUAUUCUGUGAGAGAAGCAUUUGGGGGAAAGGGAUGGAUGUAGUGGAAGUAAUAGAACCAAGAAGUAUGGAUUCCCUGUGGGUUUUAAUUUUCAGGUGACUCCAAUACCCCAAGAAUUUUGGGAAUUGAAAGUCAGAGGGCAGUGAGGGAAAAAUAGCCCAGGAGGAUCCCAAGCUGGAGAAACAUGGGGCCUUUGAUUUUAAUAAAAGAUUGACAGUGGAUGUGUGUUUUCUGGAUAUAUGAUUGUUACAUAGACUUUCUCUAAAGUACACAUGUGGUUGGCCUGAAGACACUUUGGUCUUUUCUUUUCCUUGUGGGAGAAUUGUUAAGGUCUCUCCUCCAUUCAUUUUGACCCAUCAGCCCUUGGAACAUAUUCUCUGAAUUUCAGUUUAUUUACCUCGACUCGACUCUGUAGCUCAUGGCUGGUGUUCCCUUUCUCUUUCUGCGGCUCCGUUUUCUAGACGGGCAUCAUCUCCCCUGUUUCCAAGGGGUGUUCUCAUUUUCCAUGGACGUGGGGAUGUGUCAGCAGCCGCAGAAGCCCCCAUCUCCCCUCCUCACCUGGCAGGACACUGGCAAAUGCGCCUCCACUCGGAAGUGCCUCUCCCAUGCCUUCUCCUCUACCUGCACCCACACGCCCAGCUCUUCUGAGGUCCUGGGUUAGGGAGCAGGAUACAAAUGCUGCAGGAAUUUACAACUGCCGGAUGAAAUCAUCGAACCGAGACCUUAAUGCCAGAGGAAUUGUGUUUAAUUGUUUGGAAACCAGGAGCAGAAAUGAAGGGUGAUAGGAAAGAGUGUGCGGGCGCGCUAGCGAAGUGUCCAAGAAGCCGACAGGGCCAAGUGGCUACAGGUCAGCAAAGAUGAUUCGUCGGUUUGGAACCAGAUGCUCAUCUGAGAUGGAAACUGCAGCUGCUCAUGAAUAAGACCUGGAGAUCCAGGAAGCUGCCGUCCUGGGGCUGCCUUUCUCCCAAGCGUGGCUGCAUCCAGAAGCCGGGGUGAGUGGGGCUGGCUGCUGGCUGGCGGAGAGAGGGGAGUGGGCUUCAUGCUGUCUGUCCUGCCGGGGGCUGGGCCUCUGGUCAUGUGCCCAGGGCUUACUUCAGCUUGGAAUUGUGGCACUGCUGAGGGGGUGGGCACUUCUGUUGGCAGUUGGAGCAGACAGGGUUCAUUGAAGUUGGGUGGAGGCUGGCAAGGCUGCUUGGUCUUCAGAGCUGAGGUUAGCAGUCCUUAGGUGGGGGGCAGCACUGCUUGGGUGGGGGGCAGCACUGCUUGGGUGGGGGGCAGCACUGCUUGGGUGGCGGGCAGCACUGCUUGGGUGGCGGGCAGCACUGCUUGGGUGGCGGGCAGCACUGCUUGGGUGGCAGGCAGCACUGCUUGGGUGGCAGGCAGCACUGCUGAGGUGGGGGGCAGCACUGCUUCUGCUUCUGCUGAGACAUUCCGGGCUGGGUGUGCGCUGAAAGUGGAAAGACACACAAGUGAGGAAUUCUGGAGCCUUAGAGAGACUCAGCCUGGGAGUACCUCUUGCCUUGUUCACACCUGCCCUGGUUUCACCUUGCCCUGGUGGCUUCACAGAUUGAAGAGAUUCCAGGUCAAAGAGAGAUGACGCAAUGAUCGGACUUGGGUGUAAUGCAUGAAACAACAUCUGACAAAGGAUGAAACAUAUCUUUAAAAAAAAACCCAGUGGUGUUCAGACUGGGGCUCUGAGCUUUACCAGUUGGUGACUUUGGGCACUUAACAUCUUUGAACCUCAGCUUCCUCAUGGGCAGGACAGGAUAACACAACUUGCAUGUCAGCUGUACGCGUUAUAACGGACAGCAUAUGUAAAGUAUGUGCACAGUGUUUGGCACAGAAUAAAUGCUCAGUGAUGGUCAGGUGCUCUGUGGACUAGGGCUCUGAAGACCAGGGCAAAGCACACUCUCAGGAGUAUGGACUAGGUCGUUGUCACAUUUGAAGGCAGGGAGAGGCACUCGCUCCCAGUGUCAGAAGACCUUGACUGAGAGAAAUGGAAACAGGCAAGCUAGUCCUGAGGAUGGCAUGUCCCACAUCUCAGACCUGGAAUUUAGCACAACCCAGAUGAAAGCCUUCCAACAUCCCUAGAUCUUGGGAAUUCACACUACCACACUAGAAGACAGGCUUGGAAACCAGUGGUCUCUGCCCUGGCACUCACUGGAAGGGCCAGCUGUGCAUGGGCAAAGCAUUGAGGGACACCUGAGGAAUUAGGCCUUCCCAGGACAAGAAUCCCUUCUGCCUGGUUCCACUCUGACAAAGCAACCCCGAGAGCCUUGGAGAGGGAUUUCAGCUCAGGUUCUUAGUAGCAGAAAAGAAAGACCGUAUGGGCUAAUUAUCCUGAGAUAACCACUAAUUCAUGAAGAAGCAGUGGGCUCACACCAUGCGCUGGGCGCUGGGAUCGGUGGUGAACAAGGAUAGCCAGACCCUCACUCAUCCCUAAACUGCUUCAUAUCCUUUUGUCCACCUUCUCCUUCCAACUCUUUAGAUGCUUUUCAAUUGUUUGGCUUGGAUUCGCUGCAGAACUCAAACCCAAUGUUGCAGUAGCAGUCCCUGCAUAAGUAGAGAAAAUGUGAACACCAGCUAAUCCAUGAGUUUUGGGUGUUACGUGCUGUUAAUCUUUGCUGGCAUAAGCCCCCACUACCCAGAACAGUUGUUUUUGUUCUGGAGUCAGCUAUCUCAAGCAUGCUUUAGAUAGUGUUGCUUCUCCCAGCAGAGGACAGAAGGAAUGGGUCAUCUAGAAGCCACUGAUAAAACUAAACUCUUAUCCUGAGCCUUUGGUAUGGUCCUGUUAACUGACUUUAUUUAGCAUUGCUCUUUCUCUUUCUCCAAGCCUCUCUCUCUCUAUCUCACAGACACACACACACACACACACACACACACACGUGAGUCUCCCCGUACUCUAGCACUAAAUGUUUGUGGCGGCAUAAAGCCAGUUCUCAGUAUAUUUGAUGGCAUGGGAGGUGCUGUUUUCUACCAAUUUCCAAAACCCACGUACAUACUCACUACCUACCGUAGGUCCCCGUCUAGCAGGCAUAUGGCCCUGGUGCUUUUGCAUGGCUCCUAUACUUGAUGGUUCCAUAUGGCUCUUGAGGAUUUAUUUUUCCCCUUCAGAUUUCCCUUGGUAUUCAUCUCAUCCUCAUUUUACCUACAUGAACAUGAACAUGAUGGCGAGGUAGUUAGGAUAAGAGGUGCGUAACAGAGGAAGGAGGUAGGUUGGCGACCAUGCUCCCCAGGCUGUCUCUCUUGCAAGUAGACACUUGUUCACUUGGUUUCUAGUUCUAGGCACCUGGUGGCACAUUGUGCCUGAGAAAGACCAGGAUCUAGCUGGGUAGAAGGUCAAGGGGCUGAGCUUUGUAGGGAUCUAGUCAGUCAUCAAAUGUAUAGGAAACGGAUACCAUGCCCAAUACUCUGGAGUCUGGGAAACUGAGUGACAUACAGGCCCAGCCAUCAAGGAAUGGAUGAUAUUCCUGGGGCGAUAAAGCCAGCCCAAUGUGACAGAGGUACUGGAUCUGGGAGGCAGAGACCAGGUGUCAGGACCUGAGGGAUGCUAUGGAACAAGAGAGGCACAGGACUCAGAGGAGUAGUCACCCCUCUGGGCUGAGUCAGUGUUGACAGUGAAGCAUCAGGGCAGAUAUGAAAAGCUCCUUGACAGCAGGUUCCUUCAUGGCAGACUCUGUAUCCUGGUAUCUAUCAAGGUUCCGGCUCAUAUUCGGAGUUAAAUACAUUUCUGUGAAAUGAGUGAGGAUAUUCCAGGCAAGGGAAUAUGGACUGAGAAAACAUGUGAAGAUGGGAAGAUGCUAUGUGGGUUGGGGUGAAAAAGGAGGCCAACCUGGCUGGAGGUCAGUGCUGGUGAGCCACAGGCAGUGGAGGUGGGACUGGACACUAAGGAAGGCAGAAUAGCUAGGAGAGCUGAAGAGUUGAAGCCAGGAGAGCUGGAACUGCAGGGUGGAAGGCACAAUCAGGAGGCCUAGGCAUUGACUCUAAAUACUGCAAAGAGGCCCCUUUAUCACAAGUCAUACACUCUUUAAAAAAUUCUAUUGAUUAGCUUAGAGAGGCAGCUAGACAUUGGCUUAGAGUUAGAAGGUCUGGGUAUAUUUCUGGCUCUCACAAUAAUUAACUGUGAGCUUUUGGACAACUGGCUUCCCCUCUGUGGGGCUCAGAUUUUCUGCUCUGUAGAACAUGAUAAUCCCUAAGGCCCUCUCCAGGUGUAAGCACAGUGUGAUUUUCUCAUUGCGAACGGGAGCCAGAGGAGGGACAUGACUAAAAAUGUGUUUGGAGGCCGGUGUGGCCACAGUAUACACAAUGAGGUGGAAGUAGGCAUGAGGUGGGUGAGAUGGAGGCGGGGAACCUGACCUAGGAUGGCAAGAAUAGGAGUGGAAAGGGGGAGACAGGUUUAAGAAUGUUCUUGAAUUAAGAACACACAGCACUGGAGGACUAAGAGAAUGGAGGGAGACGAAGGGAGGAGUCAGGGGAACCCUUCUGAUUCUGAGUGACAAAAAUGGGGAGUGCAGAGAUUAGCACUGGGAGGAGGAAAAAGGAAGACAAAAUGCCUGUCCAUAUAUGUUGUGUCCAGUAUAGCAGGACCCCCAGGGAGUUGUGGUUACCAUACAGUGUAUACGCACUGCUACAUAUCAUAUGUGUGCUGUAUAUAAAUAGUGUGUAUAUAUUCUGUAUAUUGUAUAUACACUGUGUAUAAAUAGUGUGUAUACAGUGCUAUAUAUUGUAUGUACACUAUAUAAAGAGUGUAUACACUGCUGUAUGUGCACUAUAUACAAACAGCAUAUAUACAUUGCUGUAUAUUGUAUACUGUAUAUAAACAUCGAGUACACACUGUUGUGUACUGUAUGCGCAAUGUAUAUGAACAGUGAGUACACACUGCUGGGCAGCAGUAGCGGAGGGAGUGAUGAGGGAACAGGAGGGAGAGUUCACCUGCUGAGUGCCAGGUUUGGGCUGAGCCCUGGAAAGAAACACAGAAGGCAAAACAAGGAAGCUCUUGGUCCAGAGGUCCCAUCCUCCUUCCUGGUAGCAGGGCUUGGUCAGGGAACAGGGAAGCAUUCUAGACUAGCAGGCGCCAGGGCUGGAAGGAGCCCAGGAAUCAGAAAAAAAUACUCCCAAUUCCUGUUUCAAGGACUGUGUCAACACUUGAUGACACUCUCAACAAGCUACUGAGAAAUGAGAAAUGUUGCUAUUAUAUAUAUAUAUAUAUAUAUAUAUAUAUAUACACUUUUUCAGAUUCUUUUCCCUUAUAGGUUCUUACAUAAUAUUGAGUAUAGUUCUCUGUGCUAAAUAGUAGGUCCUUGUUAUCUAGUUUAUAUAUAGUAGUGUGUACGUGUUAAUCCAAAACUCCUAAUGUAUCCCUCCCUGCUUUCCCCUUUAGUAACCAUAAGUUUGUCUUUCUAUGCCUGUGGGUCUGUUUCUGUUUUGUAAAUAAGUUCAUUUGUAUCCUUUUUCUUAGAUUCCACACAUAAGGGAUAUCACAUGGUAUUUGUCUUUGUCUGGUUCACUUCACUUAUUAUGGUAAUCUCUAGUUGAUCCAUGUUGCUGCAUGGCAUUUUUCAUUCUUUUUUAUGGCUAAUAUUCCACUGUAUAACAUACCACAUGUUCUUUAUCUAUUACUCUGUCGAUGGACGUUUAGGUUGCUUCCAUGUCUUGACUAUUGUAAAUAGUGCUGCAAUGAAAAUCGGGGUGCAUAUAUCUUUUCGACUUAUGAAUUUCUCCGGAUAUAUGCCCAGGACUGGGAUUGCAGAAUCAUAUUGUAACUGUAACUUUAGUUUUUUAAGGAACCUCCAUACUGGUCUCCGUAGUGGCUGCACCAAUUUACAUUCCCACCAACAGCGUAUGAGGGUUGCCUUUUCUCCACAUGCUCUUCAGCAUUUAGUAUUUGUAGAUUUUUUGAUGAUGGCCAUCCGGAACUGUGUGAGGUGAUACUUUAUUAUAGUUUUGAUUUUCAUUUCUGUAAUAAUUAGUGAUGUUGAACAUCUUUUCAUGUGCCUGUUGACCAUCUGUAUGUCUUCUUUGGAGAAAUGUCUCUUUAGAUCUUCUGCCCAUUUUUCAGUUGGGAUGUUUAUUUUUUUAUAUUGAGCUGUAUGAACUGUUUGUAUAUUUUGGAAAUUAAUCCCUUGUUGGUUGCAUCUUUUGCAAAUAUUUUCUCCCAUUAUGUAGGUUGUCUUUUUGUUUUGUUUAUGGUUCCCUUUGCUGUGCAAAAGCUUUUAAGUUUAAUUAGGCCCUAUUUGUUUAUUUUUGUUUUUAUUUCCAUUACUCUAGGAGAUGAAUCCAAAACGAUAUUGCUGCAAUUUAUGUCAAGGAGUGUUCUGCCUAUGUUUCCUCUAGGAGUUUUACAGUAUCUGGCCUUACACCAUCCAGUCUUAUCAUUAAAGAAUAUGGAAAAUGUGAGGUAGACAAGGGAAGUGACUUAUGUGGGGUCACAAUUUAUAAAAUGCCAGAGUGAGGACUUGAACUCUGGGUACCUGACCAAAACCCAAACCAAACCAAAAGACAACCAAACAAACAAAGAAAAGAGGACUUUGGCUGAGGUCAAAAUCUUAGGAACUUCUCUUCCCUUUCUG